GGAGGAUUGGCCGAGUGGUUGAUGGCGGCGGUCUUGAAAACCGUUGUACCUUAACGGGUACCGGGGGUUCGAAUCCCUCAUCCUCCGCCA
rnacentral:tRNA from 1 species